GGAGUUCAAGACCAGGAUGGCCAACAUGGUGAAACCCCGUCUUUACUAAAAAUACAAAAAUUAGCUGGGUAUGGUGGCAUGCGCCUGUAGUCUCAGCUACUUGGGUGGCUGAGGCGGGAGAAUCGCUUGAACCCAGAAUGUGGAGGUUGCAGUGAGCCAAGAUUGUGCCACCGUACUCCAGCCUGGGCGACAGAGUAAGACUUCUUCCCCCAGCCUCCCCCCACCAAAAAAACUGUGGAGCUACCAUAUUCCUGGUAUUAUCUUCUGUUGAUUUAUUCAGAGAUAUCUAGUGUCUAUAUGCAAGCAAUAUAUUAGUUGCGAAGUGUCUAGGAACAGUGAAAGACACAAGUCUCCUGUUUACUUAGAUUAUGCAGACUAUUGUGAAAGAAAGGGACUGAAAGGAGUUCACUAUACCGUAAAGGUAGUGUGGCGCAAGGUGAAUGUGAGUCUGUAGGGUAAGGUGAGUCAGGAAGUGCCUUGUAGGUUGGAUGACCUUAUAAACUGGCAUGCUGGGGCCAGUGAAAGAGGGCACUAUUAAUAAUUGCACGAGAAGAGCAGGCAUAAGCUGCAACCAUCCCAGGCAAAUGGGAACGUAUGGUUACCCUAUGCAUGAGGGUAAGGAAUUUGCAUGCUCUUAAGAAGCAGUAAAUGAGAAACUGUAGAGAGUGUUUAAUCUAGAGAGCAAUAUAAUAAAAAUUUGCAUUGUGGAAGGCAGAGAAGGAUUGGAGCGGGCAAGAAGGGAGGCAUGGAGACCAGGGAAGGGCUGUUUCAGGGAUCCAGGCCUGGGAAGGAGACAGCGUGGAGCAGGUGAUGAUGGUGGAGAGGCUGAGUGGUGGGCAGAGCUGAGAAGUGCUUUGGAGACUCAGCUGACUGACAGGUGUCAGUGACUGUGAGGAUGUAGCCGAUGAGUAGGAAGGAGGAGUCAAGGUGAUACCCAGUUUCUGAGAAAGGGAGAGGUGCCAUUUGCUUGGAUGGAAAUGCAUGAGGAGGAGCAGCUAUGGGGUUGGGGACGUUGAUGAGUUCCAUUUUAGAUAUGUUGAGUUUCAGGUAUUGAUGCAAUAUAUUGAUACAAUAUAUUAAUUGUGUCAGUGUAUACAUACAGUAUAUGUAUGUAUACAUACAUAUAUGUAUGUAUACAUACAGUAUAUGUAUGUAUACAUACAGUAUAUGUAUGUAUACAUACAGUAUAUGUAUGUAUACAUACAGUAUAUGUAUGUAUCAGUAUACACAUUAAUGGUGUAUUGAUACAAUAUAUUAUACAGUAGAAAUGUUUGGCAGGCAUUUUUUUCCUUUCUGUGUUAACCUCAACAUCAGCCUGCCCAUACCAAUGUUGUUAUUUAGGGCUUUUAAUCCCUGUGAAGAUCUUGAGCACCU
rnacentral:lncRNA from 10 species